rnacentral:miRNA from 1 species
GUGUGGCCGGCGCGCGGGUGGGCGGGGCGGCCGGCGGGACCCCUGCCCCGCGCCGGCGCUCACCCUCCCAUCUCCCCGCAG